GGGAGGUUAGCUCAGUGGUAGAGCACCUGCCUUACACGCAGGGUGUCGUGGGUUCAAGCCCCUCACCUCCCACCA
rnacentral:tRNA from 1 species